rnacentral:rRNA from 1 species
GUGAACGCUGGCGGCAGGCCUAACACAUGCAAGUCGAGCGGCAGCGCGGGGGCAACCCUGGCGGCGAGCGGCGGACGGGUGAGGAAUUCGUCGGAAUCUGCCUUUUUGUGGGGGAUAACGUAGGGAAACUUACGCUAAUACCGCAUACGUCCUACGGGAGAAAGUGGGGGACCGCAAGGCCUCACGCAGAAAGAUGAGCCGACGACCGAUUAGCUAGUUGGUGGGGUAAAGGCCCACCAAGGCGACGAUCGGCAGCUGGUCUGAGAGGAUGAUCAGCCACACUGGGACUGAGACACGGCCCAGACUCCUACGGGAGGCAACAGUGGGGAAUAUUGGACAAUGGGCGCAAGCCUGAUCCAGCCAUGCCGCGUGUGUGAAGAAGGCCUUCGGGUUGUAAAGCACUUUUGUCCGGAAAGAAAUCCCUGGAGCUAAUACCUUCGGGGGAUGACGGUACCGGAAGAAUAAGCACCGGCUAACUUCGUG